rnacentral:rRNA from 1 species
GAUUUUAAUGAUCGAACAGAUCAAAAUUUUAAACUUUUGCAUUUAAAUUUUAUCUUAAUCCAACAUCGAGGUCGCAAACUUUUUUUUUUAUUUGAGCUAAAAAAAAAUAUUACGCUGUUAUCCCUAAGGUAAUUUUUUCUUAUAAUCAUUAUUAAUGGAUCAUUUAAUCAUUUAUUCAUGUUUAAUUUUUAAAAAAAGUUAAUUUAAUUUUUCUAUCACCCCAAUAUAAUAUUUAAUUUUAUUUUAAUAAAAACUUUUAUAUAAUUUUAAAAUAAAAAUAAAUAUAAAACUCUAUAGGGUCUUCUCGUCUUUUAAAAUUAAUUUAGCUUUUUAACUAAAAAAUAAAUUUCUAAAAAUAAAUAAGAGACAGUUUAUAUUUCAUCAAAUCUUUCAUACAAGUUUUCAAUUAAAAAACUAUUGAUUAUGCUACCUUUGUACAGUCAUUAUACUGCAGCCCUUUAAUAUUUAUCAGUGGGCAGAUUAGACUUUAAAUUAUAAUCAAAA